rnacentral:rRNA from 1 species
UACGUAGGGUGCAAGCGUUGUCCGGAAUUAUUGGGCGUAAAGAGCUCGUAGGCGGUUUGUCGCGUCUGCUGUGAAAACUGGGGGCUCAACCCCCAGCCUGCAGUGGGUACGGGCAGACUAGAGUGCGGUAGGGGAGAUUGGAAUUCCUGGUGUAGCGGUGGAAUGCGCAGAUAUCAGGAGGAACACCGGUGGCGAAGGCGGGUCUCUGGGCAGUAACUGACGCUGAGGAGCGAAAGCGUGGGGAGCGAACAGG